CUUUUCACUAAUUUCGAAACACUUUUGAUAAUAUUUAGAGCACUGUUUAUACAAGUUUCAAUAUUAAACAAUUUGAUGGUAUCAUAUAUUUGAUUUUGUGUAUCAGAACAAGUGGCGUGCAAUUUGGGUGCAGCAGAGCCGAUGAUGGGUCCACUACACAAUCCAUUGACUAGAGCCACACAUUAUGCUCCUCAGGGGGCCUCUGAACUAUCAGCAGCAGCAGGAGAAUCAGGCUCAGCCAAACUUGGGGAAUGGUGGUUUUUCUUAGGGGUGUGGGAGUGAGUGUUUAGAGAGAUGGGAAAUUGGGUUCAAAGAUUCAUUACAUCUCCUUUCCCUUUAUCCAUUAAAAAAUAACACCUUUUCAUUUUUUACUUUUUAUUUUUAUGUAUCUGAAACUGGUAUUUGAUGAAUCUUUUUUCUCUUUGUUUCACUUUUUCAGGUUGGUGAUGAUAUACGGAUGAUGAUCCAAGUUAGGUUUUUUUUCCAAUCAAUUUGUUUCGUAUGAAUAAAAAUUUCAGCAUCGACAACCACCCUCCCUUCGAACUCGCACUCGCAAGAUCAAUUUAUGGCUAUGUCUGGUUUGUCUAUAUGGUUGCAACACCACCACCGCUGCUCAUCAUCACCACUGCCGCUGUUGAUGCAAAACCCACUUCAUGCUCAAACAGAAUGUGUUCAAGGAAAGCUUCAAACCUGGCCAUAAUGCAAAUGAAGAUGUUCACUUGACAGUGAGGAAAUCUACAGCAGAUCUGGCCAUAGAGCAAAUGAAGAUGUUCACUUGAUAGUGAGGAAAUCUCCAGUCCUCGAUUUCUGCCUCUCGAACUCGGCUCGCAAGGAAAUUUCAACAUUGUUGAGGAAGCAUCAUUGUAUCAGUGAAGUUUCGGUUC